rnacentral:rRNA from 1 species
GACGAACGCUGGCGGCGUGCCUAAUACAUGCAAGUCGAACGGUAAGGCCUUGCAUUUGUGGGGUGCUCGAGUGGCGAAAGGGUGUGUAUCACGCGAGUAGCAUGCCCUUUACUUCGGGAUAAAUUCAGGAAACUGGGGCUCAUACAGGAUAUGAGCACUUUCUGCAUGGUGGGUAUGGUAAAGUUAUGGAGUUUGGGGAUGGACACGCGGUUUAGCAGCUUGUUGGUGGGGUAGUGGCUUACAAAGGCGUUGAGGGGUAGCCGGCUUGAGAGGGUGACCGGCCACAUUGGGACUGAGAUACGGCCCAGACUGAUUCGGGGGGCAGCAGUGGGGGAUUUUGCACGAUGGGCGGAGGCCGGAAGGAGCAACGCCGCGUGGGAGAUGACGGCCUUCAGGUUGUAACCCGCUUGCGCCUGUAACGAAGCGUAAGUGACGGUAAUGAGUAAGGAAGCACCGGCUAACUACGUG